GAUGAACGCUGGCGGCGUGCCUAAUACAUGCAAGUCGAGCGAACAGACGAGGAGCUUGCUCCUCUGACGUUAGCGGCGGACGGGUGAGUAACACGUGGAUAACCUACCUAUAAGACUGGGAUAACUUCGGGAAACCGGAGCUAAUACCGGAUAAUAUAUUGAACCGCAUGGUUCAAUAGUGAAAGACGGUUUUGCUGUCACUUAUAGAUGGAUCCGCGCCGCAUUAGCUAGUUGGUAAGGUAACGGCUUACCAAGGCAACGAUGCGUAGCCGACCUGAGAGGGGGGCCGGCACCCUGGGAAAGAGACCCGGCCCCGGCCCCCGCGGGGGGGAGCAAGAGGGCAAGCGCCCGCAGAGGGGGAAGGCCGGACGGAACAGGGGCGAGUGAGGGAAAAAGGUGUCGGGAGAGAAAACUUUUUUUAUGGGGGAAAAAAAAAGGUGAAAGAAAAUAUGCCCGUCUGGAGGCUACCUAAUAAGAAAGCCACGGCAAGCUACGUC
rnacentral:rRNA from 1 species